AGCUUUGUGCCGUGGCACUGUCGUAGCCAAUGAGGUUUAUCCGAGGCGCGAUUAUUGCUAAUUGAAAACAACACAAAUGUAUUUUUACAGAUUGAACUGUUCCCUCUAAAAUUUAUAUGUUGAGGGCCGGGAAUUUAGCUCAGUGGCA
ensembl:snRNA U4 U4 spliceosomal RNA